UACAUUGCAGAUUUUUCACGAUGGUCCUUCUUUGACAUAUGGCCUGCAUUUUGGACAACCAUGUAGCGAUUCAAUGUCCCUGCUGAGGACUUAAAUAUAUUAGUAUUUGCACUAGCAAAUUUGGUCCUCGUCAUUUGAUUAGAUUUUUGAAAGAAAAUAAGAGCUGGUUACUUACUAGGUUCCACAGGACAUUGCAGCCCAGUAGUGGUCGCGAGGAUGAGACAGUACGGAUACUAGGGAGAGGCCGUGAGGACGAAAUUAAGGAAGGGAGUGGGAGGUCUUUCCCUGUCUCGUACUAAACAGCAACCAAGCAGUGUACUGUGGACAGCAUUGGAACUCCAACCCGAGGUUCCUAAACGCUAUCUGGCUGCUGAAGUGCAGCUUGCCCGUGAUAAGGCCAGGGACCAGCCGUGUUGGAAGUGGCAGACGCUGGCAUUGGGCUUUUGCGACACCGGUAUGCUUUAUGAUGUGGUGUGAGCGAGCCACAUUCACAUGUUCUCCAAAAAUGGAGACAAUAAAAGUCAUUAUAAUAUUGUGCAUCUUAACUAGCUAGCCACCAACUCCGGUAAUGCACAGUUUUGGGGCAGAUUACUGAUAGAAGCAACAGCCCAUAUUCAUGUCAAGGUAACGUAGUUAUGUUUACUGUCUGAAGGAUUUGUCAUAAGAAGGCUCCUUAUCGAGAGCGAGCAUGGAGGGGCGUUGUGGAUUUAGCCAACUUUGCUAGUUAGCUCAGUGCAACACUUCUGCUUUUAACUAGAUUUUAAAAAAUUUAACUAAACGCAUACAUGUUAACAUUUUAACUGGGAGGUUGAUUUGUGCGGGUUUACAGAGUUGUGUUGUCAAGGUUUACUUGAUUAAUGUUGUCACGGGCUAUAGCAAUCCAGCUAGCUAACGUUAGCUAAGUAACCCGGGUCAAACUCGUGCCCCUAAUGAAGGAGUACAAAGUGGUUGUGCUGGGAAGCGGCGGCGUCGGCAAGUCCGCGCUGACUGUCCAGUUUGUCACGGGCACAUUCAUCGAGAAAUAUGACCCUACAAUUGAGGACUUCUAUCGGAAAGAGAUUGAAGUGGACUCGUCGCCUUCGGUGCUGGAGAUCCUUGACACGGCAGGGACAGAACAGUUCGCCUCCAUGAGGGACCUGUACAUCAAGAACGGCCAAGGUUUCAUACUUGUCUACAGUCUCGUCAAUCAACAGUCAUUUCAGGACAUCAGGCCGAUGCGAGACCAGAUCGUGCGGGUCAAGCGCUUUGAGAAGGUGCCACUGAUCCUGGUGGGGAACAAGGUGGACCUGGAGUCUGAGAGGGAGGUGGCGGGUGCAGACGGUCGGGCCCUGGCCCAGGAGUGGGGCUGCCCCUUCAUCGAGACCUCAGCCAAGAGCAAGACCAUGGUGGACGAGCUGUUUGCUGAGAUCGUCCGUCAGAUGAACUAUGCCACGCUGCCAGAGAAACAGGAGCAGUGCUGCACGGCCUGUGUGGUGCAGUGAGGAAGUAGGGGACACUGUCCCCUCUACACCUCUCUCCCAGGAAGCAGAUUUUCUGCACUGUGUGAGAACUACCCCCUGCCUUCCCCACACAAACUGCAGACACACAUACACAUUGAGGAUCUCUCCCAACUGGCUCCUGCUUUGAUGACCCAGGAACAACUUGAGCUCGAUCACACCUUUUGACCUCUCCAGCUGGCAGUGUUACCUACAGUACCAGAGAGCAGAUUCUUGUCUGUCCAUAAUCCAAUUCAAGUGAGUCUUGAGCCUGCCCAACCUUUGAUAUCUUGACUGUGGAACACAUUCACCUACAGACUCACUGGCCUUCAUGAUGACCCGGCCCAGGGAAGACCCACUUUUCAAUGUGUAGAGGAUAACCUUUAUGAGGAUGAAGGAUUGUCUAUGGAUUUCUAUUUUCUCAUUUGGGGUUGGGGAGUGCUGGGGCAAUGAGCAGCGAUCUGUUCAGGACCACAGCAAAGCUUUUUGAAGCUGCUCCGUCAUUAGUUCCCCUGGUUUUACUUUUUACUUGUAUCUAUUUAUUAAAUCUGGUAUCUAAUUUUAAAGUAAUAAUGGACAUGCGGGUUGAGGACUCGGGUCAGAAUUUAUUCAAACCGUGGUAAAUGUAUGAUUGCUGUGGUUUAUAGGGCCUACAACCAACUGUAUGGUGGUUAUAAAGCAGACCACCCUUCAACUUUCUUUUUUUCGAUGGGCAUGGUCGAGCCAGGUCUCCAAGCAUGAGACAUUCACGUUGAGCACUAUGCAUGUUUGUUUUCUGGUUGCCGCUGUGUGGUUUGCUUUAAAGACAGGAGAUACAGUUUCCUCUUAGUCAUGCAAAUGACUAAUAUGUUACAUGGUUUGAUCAAAUUCUGACCCUAAACAAUCUAACUUGCCCUGAACCACAUGUCAAACACGAUGUGCUGAGGGCAGUGUCUGCAGGUUUUUAUGCCACUCUUGUACUUUAUUGAUGAAUUAAGGUCAAUGAUUAUUAAGGAACUCCACUCAACUGGUUGCCUUGGUCUUAAUUGAAAGGAAAAACCUGCACACACUAGGCCCUCCAUGGAAUGAGUUUGACACCCCUGCCCUAAAUGAUCUAACUUACAUUGUUACUUUUAUUUUUGCUUUUCUCAUAACAUAUUUAUUAAAAUAUCUAAUUGCUUUGUUAGCCAAUUAUCAACUUUUUUUUUUUUAUAUACUUGCUUUUGGGUUUGCUUUUGUGACUUUACAGUGUGUUGUUUUUGAAGAUGAGAAUUAAGAGCCUUAAAUGAUUUCAGUCUUA